UCAAAACCCUGUUUACACACAAACUUCCAAUAUUUCUGACCAGAGCGCAUGCAUUACCACAGGGCGCGUGUCAAACCGCACGUCCUGCACUACCAACUACCUACACAUCACAUCAGCACGAACCCUGUGGUAACCAUGGUAACUAACUAUUCCGCUGUAAUACCUAGGGCGUCAGAGUGUGAUUUGGAACGGGGCCCACGUCGGGACUUAGAUUCGCGCUUUAAUUUCGGUUUCGUUUCCUCGCUCCAGAAAUGUUUCCUUUAUUUUGAAUUCCUCCCAAAGGGUCGUUCUGAAGACUUGAGAUUAAUCCGCGGAAUUAAAAGAAAAAAAAAAAAUCAUUAACGUGUCCAACGAGAAUAAUUUUAUCUGUACAAUAACCAUUGAACAGUUGUAGAAACAGUGCGGCGCGUAUAUGGGUGGCUUUAAGGAUACAGGACACAAGGGAUGGGACUGUGGAUGAAAAGGAGCUAAAUCCUACACUAUGGCUUUUUACAGUCGCAACACAUCAACCCGAAUUGAAGAACACCUUUUGGCAGACUCUCUGAGUUUUCGUUAAUGUUUCUGUUAUAGAAAAUUAAUUAACAUGGUCUGACUUUCUGACUGACCAGAACAGGGUGUUAAGAGGUAAAUGAUUUAUUCUAAAUGGAAGUAAACACCCUUUUAGAGAUGGUUUAAGGCCAGAGUUGGGGUGGCGACUGGGAAAGCAGUUGGCAUCUAUGGGGCCAUGCCAGCAGCAUGAUCGUAGAGUAUAAUUUACACCAUGCCAGAGGCCUCAAAUAUCCUUUCACUUUUGUUUCCCUCCACUUAUUGCCUUCUUGAGAUAGCAGACACAUUUAACACACCUUAGCAAACAUGUUGCGUAAAUGAGGGACAAAGUACAAAAAAGAUUAAGUGGGUGUUGAUCAUGCACUGUAUAUAAUGUGACUGUGAGUCACUUUGAAAGCAGUUCAGUUAAUGCAAUCAGAAGGAUUAGUGUGGUUAUGACAUAUUAGGUAACCCCAGAUAUGGAAGCCUGUCUCAACUCAUUAUUUCUUUUACUUACUUUUAAUUACACAACUUUACUUUCUUUUGUGGCCUUCAGUGAUUUGUGCUUUGGUGAUCAGAUAAUAUGUUAUAAAACUAUUACAUUGCAUAGUUACUUCCAUUAAUUGAUCAUUUCUAGAAAAGAAUCAACUGAGUGGUAUGAAAAUGUUUCAGUGAAACAGAACGCUUCUUAGUGCUCGCACUGUUGUGCAUUUUAAGGGGCUGCUGCUCGAGACUGUAAAUGCCGACCACAGGAUCACCUACCCACCACAGUUUGGCCCUUGAACAAGAUCCUUGCAUCUUCCACUCUGGAGGUCCUGACACUCAUUACUGUACAGUUCUGUGCAAUGAGCAAAACAUUGGUUCCUUAUUUUCUUAUUUUCCCGGCCUCUAUCUUGUCUUACUGUAUAAUAAUCGUUUAGAGAGUUAGUUUCUGCCUCCAUGUUUCCAAAACAAGCUAGUAGGCUGUUAAUGGAUUAGUGACUCUUAUUUAGACUGGUGAUUCAUCCAGCAUGUCUUAGUUCCCACAUCGUAUCCAGUGUCCUUGUGAUACUGACAGUUUAAUGAAUAUCAGUAGUGCACUUACUAUAGUUUCCUGUAUUUCUUUCUUUACAUACAAACUUAUACAAAUCAAAACGGCAGAACAGAUAACUUUUAAGGGUUCCUCCAAUCGGACAAACCUAACAACCUACACUAAUCUCAAGCAAAUGUUUUAGAUGGUUUUUAGGUUUUCAAUUAUUUUAAUAAAUGAGGGGUAUUAACUCUAUAAAACUUGAAGCACAGUCUCAUAGAAAAACAUUUAGAUGAAAUACUUCUUUUCUUAGGAAAAGAGUAAUUUCAGGGAUUUUUAAGGGUCUAGUGAACAAUCAAGCUUCUGAAGUGCUUGGUGUGUCAUCCUUUGUCAUAUGGAAACACAAGCUUAUGCAAAACAUGAUCUUUAAGGUUUUCUUAAGGGAUCAUCGUCUUUGCAUCCUUAAAAUGUUCUGCUUGGUUUACUUAAUGAUACAGAAAUUUACGUUUGGCAAAAAAAAAAUUUCUUCAAUUUUUAAAAGAGUUUAAUGAUGUUAAGUGCUGAAAAUUUCUUUAAGGGUACUUUCAGGGUUUGCUAAAUAACGAAAAGUUCUUAAAAUUUGGAAAAAUUGUUCUACUUAUAGGAAAACAUUUAGGAAUUUUUAAAAGGGUUUAGUAAAUAAUUAGGUUUUCUUAGAUUAUCUUCUACUUAAACCUUUUAGGUGGCACAGUAGCAUGGUGGUAGCCUCAGGGAUUAGGGUUCGGUUCCCAUCUGAGUAUGUGUGCCUGUGGUUCAUGGGUUUUUUCUUUAGUAUUUUGGUUUCCUCUCCCAUACAGAUUAGGUUAACUGGCAUUCCCAAAUUGCCUGUAGUAUGUGUAUGUGUGUGUGUGUGUGUGUGUGUGUGUGUAUGUGUGUGUGUGUGUGUGUCUGUGUGCCCAGUGAUGGAUUAGCACCCUGCCUGGGGUGUACCCGGGAGAGGCUCCACACCCCCUGCGACCCUGUGCAUAGGAUAAGCAGUAUAGAAGAUGAAUAAUUGUAUAAAUGAAAAUUUCUCAUAGUAAAAAAUGUUUACCAGACAAAUGGCUCUUUAUGGGUUCCUCAAUAUACGAGGUGGUAUCAAAAAGUUUCAAGACUAGUUUUGUAACACGCCAACAGAUGGCAGCACAAGUGAGUGUGCCAAAAGACAUCAUCCUGUGUACAUCAGGAGCUGUGCAACUGGUGCUAUUCUGACC